rnacentral:misc_RNA from 1 species
AUAUUUAAUUCUUUAAACUCAAGCUCGGUGUACGAAUUUGUCUUAAAAAGCUAUAACGAGUAAAAGCAUCUCUUCCAGAUUUCCAGAAAGGAAUCCUAAUCGAAAUGGUUAUUGAGUAUAUACUGUUGUCAGAAGACGGUUACACAUUUUACAAAAAAGUUUGAUGAAGAACGGUAAGUGAACAUUUUUAUGACGGCCCGCGGCAAGGAGAGACUGAUAUAUCAUGAUUUUACGUAUUAUAAGCAAAGCAGGACAAGAAACGGUUUUAGAUGGGGAUGUACCAAAAACAGAUGGCACAAAUGCAAAGCUUAUUUACAUUUAGCG